rnacentral:rRNA from 1 species
GACGAACCGUGCGAACGUUAUUCGGAAUCACUGGGCUUAAAGGGCGCGUAGGCGGUCAGCACAAGUCAGUUGUGAAAUCUCCGGGCUUAACUCGGAAAGGUCAACUGAUACUGUGCGACUAGAGUGCGGAAGGGGCAACUGGAAUUCUUGGUGUAGCGGUGAAAUGCGUAGAUAUCAAGAGGAACACCUGCGGCGAAGGCGGGUUGCUGGGCCGACACUGACGCUGAAGCGCGAAAGCCAGGGGAGCGAACGGG